rnacentral:misc_RNA from 1 species
GAUGAGAACGUAGUGAAAUGCGAUAAGUAAUGUGAAUUGCAGAAUUCAGUGAAUCAUCGAAUCUUUGAACGCACAUUGCGCCCCCUGGUAUUCCGGGGGGCAUGCCUGUCCGAGCGUCAUUACAACCCUCAAGCUCAGCUUGGUGUUGGGCCCCGCCGCCCCGGCGGGCCCUAAAGUCAGUGGCGGUGCCGUCCGGCUCCGAGCGUAGUAAUUCUUCUCGCUCUGGAGGCCCGGUCGUGUGCUCGCCAGCAACCCCCAAUUUUUUUCAGGUUGACCUCGGAUCAGGUAGGGAUACCCGCUGAACUUAAGCAUAUCAAUAAGCGGAGGA